CUGUUCAUGAAAGACGAUGGUUAAAUUUUCAAAAAGUCUGUGAGCUGGUUUGUUUAAAUAAAACUUUUAAUAGAAAUAAAAUUAUAUUAAUUUAUAUUAAAAUAUUAAAACUCAUUGCUUACUAUUCAUCACAUUUUAUUAUUCUCUAUGCACUUAAGUUUCUUUACACCUGUUAAGCCUGUGUGUAAUAUCACUUUGGGAGCUUGAUAUUGGCCAUGAUGGGAAUACUUACUAGAAAUCAGCAAAUGUUACAAAUCAGGGCUUUAUUUCUUGUUUGGUUGAUUGUCUAAACAAGUAUUUCUCAACUUUUGUUCUUUAAUUAUUACUACCUCCUCCAAGUAGUCCUUUUAUUUUUGGCCUAUUUUUGGCCUAAUUGUUCCCUCCCCGUGAAAUAUUUAGAUGACAGAUAUAUUACUGCCCAUAUAUCUAUGUAUAUCUAUGCUUUAUACAUGAAAAGGGACAUUUUUUUCUCCAUCCCAAGAGCUAGUUUUUCCUCCCAGGGGGCCAUACCACCCCCUUUGAGAAUGCAGAGUCUAAACUUAAAAAGUGAUAGAAAAAAUGUUAAUAAUGCAGAUUAAACACACACCUCUCAUAUCUGCAGACAUUGUAAGUCACAGAGCAAAUUGAGAAUUAUUCUUCCAUUAUUUGAACACUAUUAUCCAAUUCAAUAAAGAGGGUGUUUAUUUCAUCUACAACCAAGUUUCAAUAUAUUUUUGUUGUUUUACUUUUGUCUUACAUGUUAACAUGCAAGACUUCUGGGAAAAUCAACAAAAGCAUUCUGUGAGAAUAAACUGGCUGUAUGGAAUUUAUAAUAAUGAACAUUUUGUAUUUCACCGUUAUUCUUAAAUUGUGUGUCAUAUGUCCAUUAUAUCAAUAAGGUAUAUAUACAUAUAUAAACACACAUACAUGUACAGAUAUUUUGUCCUAAGAGCUAGCUAUUAAAUAUUUACCAGCACACCACUGUAUAUAACCUACAUUUAAGAUCAAAACAUCAUAAUUUUCUACACCAAAUUGGGGAUAUUCAGACAUUCAGAAGGAAAACAAUCUCUGAACAUGGUUGGAAAGAUUAACCCAGGGAAGGGCGGUUAGGAGAAAUAUUUUAACAUCUAUUUUAGCCUUUUUCACAUUUUCCAAAAGGAAUAUGUAUUCCUUUUAUUGAUACAUUUUUUUCCCAUUAUCUAUCCUCUCCCCAAUCACACACAAGUGCUUAAUGUACUAUCAUAGCAGUGUAAGUGUAUGACUCAGGGAACGCUAAGGAGAAUGGAAGGACCAGUCUGGGGGGAGAAUGAAAAACAGUGGAGAAGAAAAGGGAUAAAGAGGGUCUAAUUAAAAUAAGGGGGAAAAAAGAAUUUAAAAGAUAAAGAACUGAAGCAUCCCAAGUAGGGAUUGUACAAUACCAGAGGAGGGGAGAUCAGCUUACAGUACAACCACUGAAGGAGUCAAAGUAGCAAAUAAAAAUAAAAAUAAACAAGAAAAAAAAGCAAAACAUAGCAGGAGAAGAGUCCAUUCCACCCUUUCCCAUUCCAAAUUAAUUAUUAACAUUGGAAGUAGCUAUCUCUUGGGAGGUGAAAGAUAGCUUGCCAGUGAGUAAAUAGUGGCUUUGUAUUGUUUUAAAUUUGUUAAACUAAUACUAUAUCAGCAGUACCGGCAAAAUGUAUAGUUGUGGUAAAUCACUCUGAAAUAUUCUUACUGACAUUUUCAGAGAUCACAUAUCCCAAUUUAAGCAUGAUGUAGUUGCAAUUCUUAUUCUGGACCCAAAGAGCAUCAGGAGGAAUAUAUAUUCCUCCAGUGUGCAUGAAGGUACACUUUAUGGGCCAUUCUGUAGCACUCAGAUUCUGAGGAAGAAUCAAAGAGCUUUUAGAGACUCUAUUAUAAUCUUGAAGUAGAACAGGAUAUCAUCCUUUUCUAUUGAAAAUUGAAGAGAGCAAUGGGUAAUAUUUUGUCAGGUUCCAGCAAUUAAGUGUAAACUCUCAGGAAACCAAUAUAAUGAUCAGAAAUCAAACUUUAAAAAUCUACAUCUUAAAAUGCAUAUAUUUAAAACCAUCUUUCUUUUUUUUUUCAAUUGUAUUUUUAAAAAAAGCAAGAAGAGUAAAAUCUCACUUUGACCCAAUCAAAAAAAUGAGGUUAAUUUGCCCUCUCCACUCUAUUUCCCAACUAGAAUUUUCAUCUGUAUCCCUGACUUAUCAUUGAGUUCUAAUACUUCAAAAAAAAAAAAAAACAACAAAACUCAGAAUUAACAGUUAAAAGAGGCAAGUUCCAAGACUGGCAUAUUUUAGUCAUAGCAAGAAAUAAUGUUCUUUUGCAUAAGUAAUAUGCCAUGCAAUUCUGACGCAUAUAUCCUAUAGGGGUCUUUAAUCAAAACAUUUAAUUUUUAGAAAACAGAUGGCUCUAGAGCUCCUACCAAUUUCUGUGUGUUAUGAUCAAUCUGAAGCCAGAGACAUUUCCCUUAGCAAGCUGAAAAAACUAGAGAGGAUGUAGAAAGAGAAAGAAUUAGCUAGAGGAAUAAAUCCUGAGACAUUACCAUUUACUGGUCUAAAAAAGUCUGCUCCAUAGCCUCAGAAAGAUUAUCAGUGGUUGGCCCCAAAUGACAUAAAUCAUGUGUGAAAGUAGGUUUUGUACAUGUCUCAAUAGACCCUGCAGUCCAACUGAUCCUCCCAUUUCUGUGCCGGCUGCUGACUGUAAAUCAUCAGCUCUCCAUGUAGCUAGGCUUUGUGGAUGAACUACCAAGCAGUUCUGGCUCUCUCUGGGGCUGUAACAUUCUGCCUUAAGGAGUUGGCAGUAUGACCACAGUCAAAGAAAAACCAGGAUAAAAAAAUUCACACAAAGGAAGUUGCCAUCCACCUACAUGGUUCAAGUCGAUGGCUAAUUACAGUAGGCAAAAGAUCAAAAACUCAAAAAUGCUAUCAAAAAUCCUAACAAUUGCAAGGCAUCCAGAAAACAAAACGAAAUAAAAAAGAACCAUGCACUAAUCUGAGAGCUAACAGAAGUGAUUUAUGUAACACCAUUAGCACAUAUUAAGACUGAAAUAAAAUAGUUCCAACUCCAUAACAAAAAUGGUACAUAUUCUUAUUCCAUCUUUUACAUCAGAACCAAUUGCAAGAAUAAGAGUUAGACUGAGGUUCAAGCAAAAGAACAAUGCAGCAAAGUGCAGUGCGAAAAACAGUCUUUUAGGAGUGGCUCUGAUUAUGAACCCUGGCUCCACCACUUAUUUGACUGUGAACAGGUCACUUAGUCUCUUUGAAUUCCUCUUCCGCAAACUGCAAAUAAUGACAACCUUGAAAAGUCACUGUGAAAAUUUUCCACAUUGUGUGUAAAGCACACAUAAUAUCUGUCACACAGAAUUAUUAUAUGCAAAGUGUCACUGAACGAUAAAAUUUAUCUCUGGGGUUGGCAGUGCCUAACAAUAAUAACAGCUUUCAUUAUUAUGACACUUUAUCAUGUCAAGAGUCAUCUAUCUCCAGCACUUUUUGAAGUAGGCAGGGCAGGAAUUAUGCCCAUUCUAAAGAUGAAGAAAAUGAAGUGCUUUAACAUUUUUGUAAAGCUGUAUGUGUGUGUAUGAGAAAAGUAAGAGUCACAUUAAUGGAUAAUUAUAUUUUAAUGAAGUGGGAAAAUCUCCAACAAUGAUUGAUGUUAUUAAAAAUGAAGAAUGCUGAGAAGUGAAAAAUAUUUUGAACCCUAUAAGCCUUCAACAUUGCUGCUUUUCCACUUCCACAUUCUUAUGAUGGAAUCACUAUUGUUUGAUGAGCCAUUUUAUCCUAAGUGGCACUGUUAAAGAGAUUAAUGAGCCAGGAGACCUGGUGAGUUAAAUUAACAUUUUAAAGUUAAAAUUUAUCCAGAUUAAUAAUAAUUAAACCCACAAAAUAUGCCAGGGCAACACUACCAAAAUUAAUCCUAUCCCAUUGUAAAAAUAAUUCAUUUUGUAUAGUUGAAUUAGUCCUGAGAAGAUCUGUCUUUGAACACUAACUACAGUAAUUGUUUAGCAUUGCAAUUAAUGCUCAGAAAUACUAGUUUAAAGAUUCAAACAGAAUGGAAUGCUAGAUAAAAGUCAUACGACUUAUUAUCAGUCAGAAUUAAAAUGAAUAUACUGAAUGAAUAAAAACAUCUGAGGCAAUAACAAAUUCUUAAAACAUUCAAGCAAUGUAAUUUGCCAUUUUGGAGACUAAACAGUUGGGCAGAUCCUAUUUCAAGUCUGUCCAAUCACUGCAAGGGUUUCCAGGUGUACACAAAUUCUGAAACGUAUUUCCUUCAUUUAGAUUUUGUCUUGUUUUAUGACUGUAUCAGCAUAACUGACCAUAUGCUGCCCUUAAAAUAGCCAAACUCAAUACUUCCAAAGUCUUUUCCUUUUUCCUCCUAGAAGGAAAAUAUUUUGAGGUGGAAAAGAAUCAGCUCAUUAAGGAAAACCACUAUCUCCUUACUCCUUACUUUCUCUUUCCUUGUUCUCUCACUUUGAUUUUGUCAUCACUCUGCCCUCUGCCCUCCAAAUGUGUACUGUCUCCCCUUAAUGUUCUAAACUUGACCAAUCAUGUCCAUUAAGGUAGACCUUUGCUUCCUCUUAGCUUAGACAGACAUGGUUUUAAAAAUGUAUUAAGGAGGGAGCAAAAAUAAACAAAUGCAUAAAAAUCAUCCAAAUAUCAUGUGCUUAUGUUUGGAUUACUGACUUAAGAGUUUAUGCUACCUCAAAAGAGCAGCUGUCUCCUGAACAUCUUUGCACCUUGUUAUAGCAAAAACAUGUGUCAGAUUCCCCAAUUAAAUCCCUUUUAUAGUCUUUCUUCCAAAUCCCGUAGCCUAACCCAUAGGUUAUGUUUGGGGAAUGUUCUAGGUGACCAGUUCUGGCACUAUUCUCCUCUUCUAGUGCCAAUCAUGGUUUAUCUACAGGAGAAAAAUCUUAUCCUCAAAGUGACUCUAUACUAAGAUGCUGUAGAGCAAAUGAAUACAUACAGCAAAUAUCAGAUCCCAAGACAAGAUAUAUACAUAUGUGGAAGUAGACACUGUUAUUCUUACAUCACCAUAGCGGAGGGAAGAGUUCCAAAAUCAAUUAAAUAAGUGUUGUUUUCUUAGAGAGGCAUCCUGCCAAGAAUUAGAGUAAUCCAUUGCUCUAUGUACGAUAUGUGUGGGUGUGAGGAUGGGUUAUGUGUGUGUGUCCAUAGCAAAACUUUAACUUCCUUUCCAACACUUUUCCCAUUUUAUAUAGUAUUUGGAGUAGAAAUGCAGUAAGAAAACUUACUAAUAGAAACUUAGAUUUUAUUUGAAAAGAAGAAGGAAGAACAUAAGGAGAGAGGUUAUUUUGAGAAAAGUGAAAGAGCCCCUGGAGUCAGAAGUCCUCUGUUGGAGCUCUGGUUCCACUAUUUAUUAUGUAUGUGAUUAUACAUGAAACUAUUUAUUUUAAAAGUUCAAAGAUGACUGUCCUAGUCUGAAUCAAAGUCCAUUAACCAGAGGCUCUCUUUUAGAAGCGCUGAAGAAGUGAGGAUUUUGAAGUCACAGACAAUCUAUAUUUAGAAACUAUAAACUCUUGUUCAGACCACUAAAUCUUUGGAGCCUCGGUUACUUUACCUACUAAGCAGAGGAAUGCAACACUUCAGAGUAUUAUAAGGUGAGAUUAGGUACACACACAUUUUCAAGGAAUAAAAGAUCAAUAAAUAUGCAUUGAUUUCUUUUUUUCUUUCCUCCAUUUAACACAUUAGUACAUUUCAAUGAUCUUGUUUUCAUUAAGAAUUGCUCAGUGGGUUAAGGAUCCCGUGUUGUCACUGCUAUGGCUCUGGUUACAGCUGUGGCAUGGGUUCAGUCCCUAGACUGGCCUGGGGACUUCCAUAUGCCCUGGG
rnacentral:lncRNA from 1 species